rnacentral:lncRNA from 1 species
AACAAUAUAAGUUGAUAAUAAAAAGUAAAUGAGUUGUAAUUUCAAUAUUUCAAUACAGUAGCAACUAUCUUACUAAAACAAAACAAGUCUCUAUAAUAGUAGAACACAUACCACUAAGUAAUUAAUCCUAACAAUAUCAGUUGAUAAUAAAAAGCAAAUGAGUUGUAAUUUCAAGAUCUUAAUAUAAGAGCAACUCACAACUUAAUAUGCACAAACAAUAUCAAAAAUUAAAUGACAAAAAUGAAACAAUCCGAAAUCAAAUCGAAAACUAAAUGCGACAAACAAACUUAGAUUCUAACAUCAACACAGAAAGCACAAUCCAGAAUGUAAAAACUGACCACCAUGGAUCUAAAACUCGGAAUUGAAUCACAACAUAAUCGGAAACUAAAUCAAGCUAGCAAACAAACGAAGAACAUAACCAAAUUGAAAUGAUACACAACUCAAACAGAAUGAAAUUCGAACAAAAAAAUACCGAACACUAUGCGAGUGAAACCGUCAAUGGAAGCUGCAAGUUGUUGCUGUUGUUUUGAAAUCUCCU